rnacentral:rRNA from 1 species
GAGGAAUAUUGGUCAAUCGACGCAAGUCUGCACCAGCCAUGCCGCGUGAAGGAUGAAGGCGUUCUGCGUCGUAAACUUCUUUUACCAGGGAAGAAACCUGAAUAUUCUUAUUCAGCCGACGGUACCUGAGGAAUAAGCACCGGCUACCUCCGUGCCAGCAGCCGCGGUAAUACGGAGGGUGCAAGCGUUAUCCGGAUUUACUGGGUUUAAAGGGUGUGUAGGCGGGCUGUUAAGUCCGUGGUGAAAUCCCAAGGCUCAACCUUGGAACUGCCAUGGAUACUAAUGGUCUUGAAUAUUGAUGAGGUGGGCGGAACGGGUCAUGUAGCGGUGAAAUGCUUAGAGAUGACCCGGAACACCGAUUGCGAAGGCAGCUCACUGGGCAAUGAUUGACGCUGAGGCACGAAAGCGUGGGGAUCAAACA